AUUGAACGCUGGCGGCAGGCCUAACACAUGCAAGUAGAACGAGUGGCGGACGGGUGAGUAAUGUCUGGGAACCUGCCUGAUGGAGGGGGAUAACUACUGGAAACGGUAGCUAAUACCGCAUACCAUCAGAUGUGCCCAGAGGGGAUUAGCUUGUUGGUGGGGUAACGGCUCAACAAGGCGACGAUCCCUAGCUGGUCUGAGCGGAUGACCAGCAACACGGGAACGGAGACACGGUCCAGACUCCUCCGUGAGGCAGAAGUGGGGAAUAUUGCAAAAUGGGGGCAAGCCUGAUGCAGCCAUGCGGCGUGUAGGAAGAAGGCCUUCGGGUUGUAAAGUACUUGCAGCGGGGAGGCGUUACCCGCAGAAGAAGCACCGGCUAACUCCGUGCCAGCAGCCGCGGUAAUUC
rnacentral:rRNA from 1 species